UACAGCUGUACCACCCUGAACGCACCUGAUCUCGUCUGAUCUCAGAAGCUAAGCAGGGUCAGGCCUAGUUAGUACUUAGAUGGGAGAAAAUAGGCCUGGGGCUGAGG
rnacentral:rRNA from 1 species